rnacentral:rRNA from 1 species
AAGAGCUCGUAGGCGGUUUGUCGCGUCUGUCGUGAAAGUCCGGGGCUUAACCCCGGAUCUGCGGUGGGUACGGGCAGACUACAGUGCAGUAGCCGAGACUGGAAUUCCUGGUGUAGCGGUGGAAUGCGCAGAUAUCAGGAGGAACACCGAUGGCGAAGGCAGGUCUCUGGGCUGUAACUGACGCUGAGGACCGAAAGCAUGGGGAGCGAACAGGAUUAGAUACCCUGGUAGUCCAUGCCGUAAACGUUGGGCACUAGGUGUGGGGACCAUUCCACGGUUUCCGCGCCGCAGCUAACGCAUUAAGUGCCCCGCCUGGGGAGUACGGCCGCAAGGCUAAAACUCAAAGGAAUUGACGGGGGCCCGCACAAGCGGCGGAGCAUGCGGAUUAAUUCGAUGCAACGCGAAGAACCUUACCAAGGCUUGACAUGUUCUCCAUCGCCAUAGAGAUACGGGUUCCCCUUUGGGGCGGGUUCACAGGUGGUGCAUGGUUGUCGUCAGCUCGUGUCGUGAGAUGUUGGGUUAAGUCCCGCAACGAGCGCAACCCUCGUUCCAUGUUGCCAGCACGUCGUGGUGGGGACUCAUGGCAGACUGCCGGGGUCAACUCGGAGGAAGGUGAGGACGACGUCAAAUCAUCAUGCCCCUUAUGUCUUGGGCUUCACGCAUGCUACAAUGGCCGGUACAAUGGGUUGCGAUACUGUGAGGUGGAGCUAAUCCCAAAAAGCCGGUCUCACUUCGGAUUGGGGUCUGCAACUCGACCCCAUGAAGUCGGAGUCGCUAGUAAUCGCAGAUCAGCAACGCUGCGGUGAAUACGUUCCCGGGCCUUGUACACACCGCCCGUCAAGUCACGAAAGUUGGUAACACCCGAAGCCGGUGGCCUAACCCUUGUGGGGGGAGCCGUCGAAGGUGGGACCAGCGAUUGGACUUAGUCGUA